AGAUGAGGGCCUUGUGGAUCUUACAUGGACUAGGUUUCACACCUGCCACGCAGCGCAAGAAGCUAAAAGACUUCAGUGGCAGCUGGAGGAUGAGGCUUGCCCUUGCCAGAGCCCUCUUUAUUUGGCCCUUCAUGCUGCUCCUGGAUGAGCCCACCAACCACCUGGACCUAGAUGCUUGCAUGUGGUUGGAGGAAGAACUAAAAACUUUUAAGCGCAUCUUGGUCCUCGUCUCCCAUUCCCAGGAUUUCUGAGUGGUGUCUGUACCAACAUCAUUCAUAUGCACAACAAGAAACUGAAGUAUUAUACGGGUAAUUAUGAUCAGUAUGUGAAGACGCGGCUAGAGCUGGAGGAGAACCAGAUGAAGAGGUUUUCACUGGGAGCAAGAUCAGAUUGCACACAUGAAGAACUACAUUGUGAGGUUUGUCACGGCAGUGCCAAGCUGGCCCAGCAGGCCCAGAACAAGGAGAAGACGCUACAGAAAAUGAUGGCAUCAGCACUGACAGAGAGGGUCAUGAGCAAUAAGACACUGUCAUUUUAUUUCCCACCAUGUGGCAAGAUCCCUCCACCUGUCAUUAUGGUGCAAAAUGUGAGCUUCAAGUAUACAAAAGUAGGCCUUGCAUCUACAAUAAUCUAGAAUUCGGAAUUGACCGUGACACACGAGUGGCUCUGGUAGGGCCCAAUGGAGAAGGGAAGUCAACUCUUCUGAAGCUGCUAACUGGAGAGUUACUACCCACAGAUGGCAUGAUCCGAAAACACUGUCAUGUCAAGAUAGGGCAUUACCAUCAGCAUUUAAAAGAACAGCUGGACUUGGAUCUCUUGCCUCUCGGGUCAGGAGCUCCAUCUGGGAACUAACAGCUGCUACCCUGACCAGCUGCUCAGGACAGGACCCUGGGGCUACACUCCUGCAUUGCUGCAAUACUGCUCCCCCAGCCUCUCCCCUGCCCCUCAACCUGCCUUAGCUGCACUCUCUUAUCUACAGCUGGACAGUACCUGUCUGUUUCCUGUCCUCCUUCCAGUUACAUCUGUCCAUGUCUGGACUCGGCUGGCCAUUCCCUCCAGCCCCUUGCUGGUUACCUUACUCUGAGUGUGAUGCAGUCAGAGGCACCUGCAGGUUAGCCCAAGGGCCCAAGCCCUGGAUUUGGCCCGCGGAGGAGGUUAGGAUCCUCGUUUUCUGGGUUUUGGUGAUGUUGGAGGAGUACCCCCAGCCCACCGCCCCGAUUCCUUUUUGCUUCUGGUUUGGAGCUCUGGACCAGGACCUUCGUCCUGGUCAGUUUUUAAAUAAUUAUUUAACAGUGUGACUUUUAGACCUGCGUGACAUCUACAAAGUGCCCAAUAAAGAAAGAGGAAGCCAAAA